rnacentral:rRNA from 1 species
GGCGAACGCUGGCGGCGUGCUUAACACAUGCAAGUCGAACGGAGCACCCUUGACUGAGGUUUCGGCCAAAUGAUAGGAAUGCUUAGUGGCGGACUGGUGAGUAACGCGUGAGGAACCUACCUUCCAGAGGGGGACAACAGUUGGAAACGACUGCUAAUACCGCAUGACGCAUGACCGGGGCAUCCCGGGCAUGUCAAAGAUUUUAUCGCUGGAAGAUGGCCUCGCGUCUGAUUAGCUAGAUGGUGGGGUAACGGCCCACCAUGGCGACGAUCAGUAGCCGGACUGAGAGGUUGACCGGCCACAUUGGGACUGAGAUACGGCCCAAACUCCUACGGGAGCAGCAGUGAGGAAUAUUGGGUCAAUGGGCGAGAGCCUGAACCAGCCAAGUAGCGUGAAGGAUGACUGCCCUAUGGGUU